GGGACUCCACAGCUUCUGGCAGGCAGG
rnacentral:piRNA from 1 species